rnacentral:rRNA from 1 species
UAGAUGCGAGAGUAGAGCAUAUCAAUAAGCGGAGGAAAAGAAACUAACAAGGAUUCCCUUAGUAACGGCGAGUGAAGCGGGAAGAGCUCGAAUCUGAAAUCUUCAAGGUUUUACCUUGACGAAUUGUAGUUUAAAGAAGUGUUUUCUGUUGGAGUUUUGGUAAAAGUUCUUUGGAAUAGGACAUCAUAGAGGGUGAGAAUCCCGUAUUUGACCAUUAUUUCCAGCUGUGUGAUACACUUUCAAAGAGUCGGAUUGUUUGGGAAUGCAGUCCAAAAUGGGUGGUAAAUUUCAUCUAAAGCUAAAUAUUGGCGAGAGACCGAUAGCGAACAAGUACCGUGAGGGAAAGAUGAAAAGAACUUUGAAAAGAGAGUUAAACAGUACGUGAAAUUGUCAAAAGGGAAGCGUUUGACACCAGUGUUGUUUUCUCGAAAAUCAAUUAAAAAUGAUGGGAUUUUGUGUUGUAUUGACUUUAUCAGCUUUCUGCACUUUUUUCUUAUCUUUUUUAAUGCACUUUUCGUUUAACAAGUCAACAUCAAUUUCUUUUGUUGUAAAAGAGUCAUUGGAAGGUGGCUUUUUCUUCGGGAAAAGUGUUUAUAGCCUUUGGCUUCUGCAAUCGGAGAGAUUGAGGUCUGCAGCGUAGAUCCUUCGGGGUUAGAUACAUUUGUGCUAAGCUAUAGUUCUUUAUAGACAACUUGUUGACUAUAAUCAAUCCUGUAACUUACUCGCUUAUGCUAUUUUACCUACGCUUAGGAUGUUGACACACGCGCGUGCUCG